AUGAUGGGUGUGAUCACUGACUACAUAGGAGGAACUUUUCACAGUGGGCCCACAACUCAUCCCAACAUGCACUUUAAACAUCUUACAAUUCCAGUGGUCUAUUAUACCUGGAUGGGGCUGAAAAAAUGUAAUAACACUAUUAGGGGAGAAAGGAAGGAAGGAAGGAAGGAAGGAAGGAAGGAAGGAAGGAAGGAAGGAAGGAAGGAAGGAAGGAAGAAGGAAAGAGGGGAGGGAGGAAAGAAGGGGGGAGGGAGGGAAGGUGGAAGGAAUGAGGUAAAGAAAGAAGAAAGGAAGGGAGGAAGGAAGGAAGGAAAGAGGGGAGGGAGGAAAGGAAGGGAGGAGGGAGGAAGGGAGGGAGGAAGGAAGGAAGGAGGAAGCAAAGAGGGGAGGGAGGAAAGGAAGGAAGGAAGAGGGGAGGGAGGAAGGAGGAAGGAAGGAAGGAAGGAAGAAGGAAGGAGGAAGGAAAGAGGGGAGGGAGGAAAGGAAGGGGGGAGGGAGGGAGGGAGGAAGGAAGGAAGGAAGAAGGAAGAAAGGAAGGGAGGAAGGAAGGAAGAAGGAAGGAAGAAACGAAAGAAGAAGGAAGGAAAGAGGGGAGGGAGGAAAGGAAGGAGGAGGAAGGAAGAAGGAAGAAGGAAGGAAGAAAGGAGAGAGGAAGGAAUGAAGGAAGGAAGGAAGAGGGGAGGGAGGAAGGAAGGAGGAAGGAGGAGGGGAGGAAGGAAGGAGGAAGGAAGAAGGAAGGAAGAAGAAGGAAGGAGGAGGAAGGAAGAAGGAAGGAAGGAAGGAAGGGAGGAAAGGAAGGAAGAAAGGAGAGAGGAAGGAAUGAAGGAAGGAAGGAAAAAGGAAGAAAGCAAGGGAGGAAGGAAGGAAGAAGGAAGGAAGAAACGAAAGAAGAAGGAAAGAGGGGAGGGAGGAAAGGAAGGGGGGAGGGAGGGAGGAAGGAAGGAGGGGAGGAAGGAAGGAAGGAGGAAGGAGGAGGGGAGGAAGGGAGGGAGGAAGGAAGGAGGAAGGAAGGAGGAAGGAAGGAAGAAGAAGGAAGGAAGGAAAAGGAAGGAGGAAGGAAGGGAGGAAAGGAAGGAAGGAAGAAGGAAGGAGGAAGGAAGGAAGAAGAAGGAAGGAAGAAGAAGGAAGGAAAGAGGGGAGGGAGGAAGGAAGGAAGAAAGGAGAGAAGGAAGGAGGAAGGAAGCAAGGGAAGGGAGAAGGAGGGAAGGAAGGGAGGGAAGAAAGGGGGAGGGAGAAAGAGAGAGAGAGAGAGAGAGAGAGAGAGAGAGAGAGAGGAAGGGACGAAGGAAAAGAAGACAGACAUUCAGACAUUACCCUAAUUUCAGUGACUUCUGUGGAAUGUGUCUUGUUCUUACACAACUUCAGAACCGGACCUAA
rnacentral:lncRNA from 1 species